rnacentral:misc_RNA from 1 species
CGGAGACACCACUGGUUUGGAGGAUAG